AAGGCAAGAAAGCGAAGGAAAAGUACAUUUAAGUCAUUUCAAGAGUCACCCUUUUUAUAUGCUUUCCCUUCCACCUAAUGCUCAGCCCCUAUUUUCCUUUGCGAAAAAAAAUAACCCCUAUUUUCGAGUGAAAACUCCAUUUACCCAAAUGACGUCUCAACCAUUAACAAAUCACCGAGAAGGAGCGGAGAUCUACCACGGCGAGUCCCUCUGCAAGCAGAAGUCCCUCGACCUCCUCCAGGAGAUCCGCCUCCCCAUGGGCCUCCUGCCCCUUGACGACAUCGUUGAGGUUGGCUACAAUCGCACCACUGGGUUCGUCUGGCUCAAGCAGAAGAAAAGGAAAGAGCACAAAUUCCGUGCAAUUGGACGCAACGUGUCGUACGAUAAGGAGGUGACGGCGUUCGUGGAGGACCGGCGGAUGCGGAGGCUGACUGGGGUGAAGAGCAAGGAGUUUCUGAUUUGGGUUACGAUCUCUGAUAUCUAUGUGGACUCUGGCGAUACUAAGAAAAUAACUUUCGGUAAUCCAACAGGGAUAUCGAGGACUUUUCCAGUGUCUGCCUUUGAGCUAGAGGAGGAGGAGAAGAAGUGAUUGUCGUUUAGUUUCCAGUGUGCGUUUUAGCUGAAGGAGAAGGAGAAGUGAUUGUGGGUUCGGUUGUUGUGUAAUGUGGGAUUCAAUAAAUCUAUGAUUAUGAUUAUGGUUUUAAUGGGUUUAUGAUAUGCAUUUUAUUAAAAUGAUGAGGUUGGAUUAGGUUCUGUUUUAUUAGUUGGGAAAUCAAAAUCAUAUAUCCUUCUUGCUAACAAUAUGAAUCCUUGAUGCCCAUAAACAGUAGAGGCUUAGCAAAUAGCAUGGAAUUGCUGAGUGGAUAUUUGAUUACUCGUUUUUAUUAUUUUACUGAUAAGUCAUAUAGUUUGUAAUUUGGCAUUGCGUUUUCCAUGACAGCCAUGUUCUCGAAUCUCUACUUUAGUUAUGCUGCAACCGUUAAGCAUUUUACACGAGCUCAUGGUUUUCUGCCACAAUAGACUGCUUUUAGGUUUAGUCCUAAUUUUG
rnacentral:misc_RNA from 1 species